UUCUGGAAUUCUCAUUUGGAAUCUGCUGCCAGAUUCUCGAGAGAAUCUGGAAACAGAGAGCUAAGAGUUUUGUGUUUGGUGUGGACCCAAGAAUAUGGGAUUACAGUAUUCCUUUUGUCUAAUUAUUUUUACUUCUGUCCUUUACAGAACUGCUAAAGACCCAUGACCUUCACUAUUGAACUGCUUCAUUGGAGGGAAAGAAUUGCCUUGAUGUCUGUAAGGAUUAGUGUUCUGAACAGACAUCUGCAAAGCUGUUGCUAGCUAUUGCUAGCCAGAUUGCUCAGUGCACGGUUGAGGUCCCCCAAUGGUGUUCCUUAAUCCUUACUGAUGGCAUUUGGUGUCUACUUGUGAUACUUUUUGUUUCAUUGCUUUAAUCAAUUAAUGUAUUUCUUUUCUAGGAUUCUGAGUGAUGUGAAAUAUUCAUGACCAUUGCUCUGAUAAGCUCCAGCAGGGGAAAUUCUCCAUUGGUACAUUUAUUAAUGGGCUCUCACAAAAGGGUAAGAAUCAGAUUCUUUCGGCCAAGGUGUGUGGGCUUGUCAGUUUCAUGGACAAGCUAGUGUCAACAGGGUGAUAAUCUUCAAACCAAACUGGUUUUGAGCAACAGGGAAAACUCCACAAUACACCAUAAACGGGAAAUUAACACUUACCUGAGUUACUCUGAACUUCAGUUCAGAGCUGACCCUUGACCCAUCUUUGGCUCUGGUGACAGACUUGGAGGGGAGGGGCUAUAGAGGAAGAGACACAGAUGAGGCUGCAGAGAAUCUGUCCUCUGUUGUCAUUCUGCCCCUUCAGGCUAAGGCAAAGUCUUCAGAAAGCCUCUCCUCAUUAGUUAACUUUAGUAUUAAAAUUCUCGGAGGUCAGCAAAAAAAAAACAAGCCAAAUAAACCUCCUGGAAUGUGAGAGCCGAGAGGAGGGGCAUGCGUAUUGUUCCAUGGCUGGAUUGAACAGACAGGAGGAACAAGAGACAAAACUAUUGAGAAAAGGAAGAAACUGGGGUAUCAUUCAGGUUUCUUUUUGUUGUUGUUGUUGGUUGGUUUUCACUAGUGACACGUUCAGGCGGGACCAUCCUUUGUUGUGGGGCUGUCCUCUAGCACUCUGGGGUAGUUAGCAAGGUUUCUGGUCUCUUGGUGAUGCCCACAGAGCAGUGGCAAAGCACCACUCUAACCCACCAUGUAUGACAUCCAGUCGCCUGCCAAUGUCCCCGGAGGAAAAACUGCCCCAGAAUGAGAACCGCUGCAGUGUUUGAGGGCAACCUUGUCACCGUUCUAAAGCCAGGCCCUGCCAGAAACGGCACCCUCAGCCGGCUGGAGGAUCACAUGGCAGCACAGUGAGAAACGAAUGCUACACUGAGAAGCGGAGGCUUCAUGGUAGCAAACACGCAGCAAACCUACAGGAAGAUGAACACGAGGCAUGCCAAGCCUCCUGAGAAAAGGCUCCGGUUUUUCUGACCUGGAUUACACACUCGCUCAACUGUCUCAGAAGCAUCCGAGUGUUGGAACAUGGACAAUUCUGGACAGAUAGAUUGGUUACUUUGCGAAUCUUUAUAGUCUUCGCCAUCUCUACCAUCACCUUUCUUUUUAUAAUCUGUGCUUUCUUCUCCCAUCCAAGUCCUAACCAGGUUUGACUCUGCAUGGCUUCCGAGAUCAGGCAGGCAUUCAGGGUGGUACAUCCAUAGUGUGGAUCCUAGCUCGUCUCCUUUCGUCUGCCCAUUUUCAAGCCAGACAAUGAGAGAGUUUCACUUGGAUCAUAAGGAAUGAAGGUAAAAAUGGAAAAUGUGUCCAGGUGCUGGCAUACACUGCAUGAUGUUGGCAAAAGCGUACUCCGUUUUGACAGAAUAGAAAGAGGCUUAGAAGUGGAAUCCAGAAAGAUGAAAGGACUCGGAGGACAGUGACUCAGUCUGUCAUUGGUGGGAAUCUUUGUAGUAACUUAUAAUUUAUCUGCGGGUUAUGUAAGCUUCAAGAUGAAGAUAAAGCCGGGCCUGCAGAGCUCACACUGAACUCCAAGGUUUUGUGGACUUCUUUAAGCUGGGGAGGGCAAGGGAAAGUGAGUUUCUCACUUUUCAGUCUGCUUUUGGUUUUUAAUUUUAGUUUUUUCUCCUGGAGGAGCCAUCACUGACUAGACAUGGCAAGAACACUCAGCUAAGCUAAUUACAAUCAUGAAGAGCACUCAUCUACGCAGUAGAAACAACUUCAAGAAAGAAACAAUACACAUGAUUGUGCUCUCAGCAGGGAUUGGCAACAACUUUCUGUAAAGAUGCAGCCAGUAAAUACUUUUGAUUUUGUGAGCCAUGCAAGGUCUAACAGGAGUACUCAAUGCCAAGGAGGCAGGA